GUGUCAGCCGCCGCGGUAAUACAGAGGGUGCGAGCGUUAAUCGGAUUUACUGGGCGUAAAGCGUGCCUAGGCGGCUUAUUAAGUCGGAUGUGUAAUCCCGGAGCUUAACUUGGGAAUUGCAUUCGAUACUGGUGAGCUAGAGUAUGGGAGAGGAUGGUAGAAUUCCAGGUGUAGCGGUGAAAUGCGUAGAGAUCUGGAGGAAUACCGAUGGCGAAGGCAGCCAUCUGGCCUAAUACUGACGCUGGGGUACGAAAGCAUGGGGAGCAAACAGGAUUAGAUACCCCUGUAGUCC
rnacentral:rRNA from 1 species